GAUGAAAGAACGUAGCGAAAUGCGAUAAGUAAUGUGAAUUGCAGAAUUCAGUGAAUCAUCGAAUCUUUGAACGCACAUUGCGCCCGCCAGUAUUCUGGCGGGCAUGCCUGUUCGAGCGUCAUUUCAACCAUCAAGCCCCAGGCUUGUGUUGGAGCCCUGCGGCUGCCGCAGCCUCCCAAAACCAGUGGCGGGCUCGCUAUCACACCGAGUGCAGUAGUUUACUCUUCGCUCAGGGCGUGUGGCGGGUGCUAGCCGUGAAACCCCCAACUUCUCAAGGUUGACCUCGGAUCAGGUAGGAAUACCCGCUGAACUUAAGCAUAUCAAUAAGCGGAGGA
rnacentral:misc_RNA from 1 species